CGGGGAAUAUUGGACAAUGGGCGCAAGCCUGAUCCAGCAAUGCCGCGUGUGUGAAGAAGGCCCUUCGGGUUGUAAAGCACUUUUAUCAGGAGCGAAACGCUGUCGGCUAAUACCCGGCGGAACUGACGGUACCUGAGGAAUAAGCACCGGCUAACUUCGUGCCAGCAGCCGCGGUAAUACGAAGGGUGCAAGCGUUAAUCGGAAUUACUGGGCGUAAAGCGUUCGUAGGCGGUUUCUUAAGUCUGCUGUGAAAUCCCCGGGCUCAACCUGGGAAUGGCAGUGGAUACUGGGAGGCUAGAGUGUGUCAGAGGGUGGUGGAAUUCCCGGUGUAGCGGUGAAAUGCGUAGAGAUCGGGAGGAACAUCAGUGGCGAAGGCGGCCACCUGGGACAACACUGACGCUGAGGCACG
rnacentral:rRNA from 1 species